UACGGAGGGAGCUAGCGUUGUUCGGAAUUACUGGGCGUAAAGCGCACGUAGGCGGCUUUGUAAGUUAGAGGUGAAAGCCCGGGGCUCAACCCCGGAAUUGCCUUUUAAGACUGCAUCGCUUGAAUCCGGGAGAGGUGAGUGGAAUUCCGAGUGUAGAGGUGAAAUUCGUAGAUAUUCGGAAGAACACCAGUGGCGAAGGCGGCUCACUGGACCGGUAUUGACGCUGAGGUGCGAAAGCGUGGGGAGCAAACAGG
rnacentral:rRNA from 1 species